GAGAACCAAACUUAAGACUCGCUUGUAAUUUAGCAGCAUGUAACCUGAUCCCACAAACACAGAUAUGCUUAACUUUAAGCAGGAGGUGUCCCACAAUAUCCAUCGUGACUGCUCUGGUCAGCAAUUUGAACUCCGCUGCCCUGCAGCCAAGUAAACGGCCAUCCACCCCUCCCCCUUAGAAGCCCUGGGGAUUUUUGAAAUUCUAUUUCCUGUUGGCUCGGCAUGGAGAGGUCUUCCCAGGUGACCACGACAGAUUAUAGCAGCAAACGCUCUCCUGCUUGGACCACUACAGAGCUGUUGGAUCCGCUCAGUAUAUGGAGAGGAGGCUGGUCAGUCACAGCUGCGCUUGAGCCAUAGGAUUUGGGAUACCUACGGGCACAUUUCCCAAGGCUUGUGCGAGGGCUAUGAUCGGGACACGCUGCAGUACACAGUGAAGAUAAAGGAGCUCAGGCAGGCGUACCAUAAGGUAAGGGAGGCAAACCGUCACUUUGGUGCUGCAGCUAAGAUCGACCAGUUCUAUAAGGAGAAAUGGCGAUGGAGGUGGGGUCGCCACCUUAUCCUUUGUGGCAACCCCACCUCCAUCGCCAAGAGCCCCGUGGAUACUUUGGAAGGCCCGAAAGUGGUGGAAAGAGGACCUAACCCAGGGACGAAGUAACUGAUGAAGAAGUGGAGUUAGAGGACGAUGUGCAGCUCCCAGCGGGGUCACCUGGUGGGGCAGGCAGCCAGGAACUGUUCUCCACUCCAGAGGUGUCUAGCCAGUCUCAGGAGUUGCUCUCCAAUGAGCAAAAAGCAGAAGAUGAGACUCCUGAUGUGGCCUUCAGGACACUCCCCACACAUUAGCCACGCAUUUCUGCCAGAUAAAAAGGCGCCCACAACGCAGCAAAGAUGACAUGUUCCGGGAGGUACUGCUCUGCUCCAAUGCAGAGAAAAGGGAACACGGGAGUGCUGGGAAACUGAACGGCAGGACAGAAAAGAGAAUCAGGAGUUUGUUAAGGAUGCUACGGAGCGGAUGAUUAAAUUAACAGAGGAGUAAAUGCAGAUGCUGAAGUCCUCCCCUGCAGCACAUUCAGAACUCUUUUCCAUGCCACCCUCACCCCCCAAACUCUGUCUGCAAAUUCCUUUCUACUUUCUGGGACUUCUUGGUUUCCCCUUCACUCCACUCAGACAACUUUCACAAUGAUAGCUGGAUCUACAUACAGCUCUGAAAGUCUGCCCUUCCCUGGUUCCUUCUUUC